rnacentral:rRNA from 1 species
UACGGAGGGUGCAAGCGUUAAUCGGAAUUACUGGGCGUAAAGCGUGCGCAGGCGGUUUGUUAAGUCUGCUGUGAAAUCCCCGAGCUCAACUUGGGAAUUGCAGUGGAUACUGGCAGGCUGGAGUAUGGUAGAGGAAGGUGGAAUUCCCGGUGUAGCAGUGAAAUGCGUAGAGAUCGGGAGGAACACCAGUGGCGAAGGCGGCCUUCUGGACCAAUACUGACGCUCAUGCACGAAAGCGUGGGGAGCAAACCGG